rnacentral:rRNA from 1 species
CACGUAGGGGGCAAGCGUUGUCCGGAUUUAUUGGGCGUAAAGGGCUCGUAGGCGGUUUGUCGCGUCGGGAGUGAAAACCUUGGGCUUAACUCAGGGCUUGCUUUCGAUACGGGCAGACUAGAGGUAUGCAGGGGAGAACGGAAUUCCUGGUGUAGCGGUGAAAUGCGCAGAUAUCAGGAGGAACACCGGUGGCGAAGGCGGUUCUCUGGGCAUGAUCUGACGCUGAGGAGCGAAAGUGUGGGGAGCGAACAGG